rnacentral:rRNA from 1 species
CCUACGGGGGGCAGCAGUGAGGAAUAUUGGGCAAUGGCCGUAAGGCUGAACCAGCCAAGUCGCGUGAAGGAAGAAGGUUCUAUGGUCUGUAAACUUCGUUUAUAGGGGAAUAAAGUUAUCCACGUGUGGAUAUUUGCAUGUACCCUAUGAAUAAGCAUCGGCUAACUCCGUGCCAGCAGCCGCGGUAAGACGGAGGGUGGGAGCGUUAUUCGGAUUUAUUGGGUUUAAAGGGUGCGUAGGUUGUUUUUUAAGUCAGCGGUGAAAGUUUGUGGCUCAACGAUAAAAUUGCCGUUGAAACUGGAAGACUUGAGUGUGUUUGAGGUGGGCGGAAUGCGUGGUGUAGCGGUGAAAUGCAUAGAUAUCACGCAGAACACCGAUUGCGAAGGCAACUUACUAAGCCAUAACUGACACUGAAGCACGAAAGCGUGGGGAUCAAACAGGAGUAGAUACCCGGGUAGUC